GAUGAACGCUGGCGGCGUGCCUAAUACAUGCAAGUCGAGCGAACGGACGAGAAGCUUGCUUCUCUGAUGUUAGCGGCGGACGGGUGAGUAACACGUGGAUAACCUACCUAUAAGACUGGGAUAACUUCGGGAAACCGUAGCUAAUACCGGAUAAUAUUUUGAACCGCAUGGUUCAUAAGUGAAAGACGGUCUUGCUGUCACUUAUAGAUGGAUCCGCGCUGCAUUAGCUAGUUGGUAAGGUAACGGCUUACCAAGGCAACGAUGCAUAGCCGACCUGAGAGGGCGAUCGGCCACACUGGAACUGAGACACGGUCCAGACUCCUACGGGAGGCAGCAGUAGGGAAUCUUCCGCAAUGGGCGAAAGCCCGACGGAGCAACGCCGCGUGAGUGAUGAAGGUCUUCGGAUCGUAAAACUCUGUUAUUAGGGAAGAACAUAUGUGUAAGUAACUGUGCACAUCUUGACGGUACCUAAUCAGAAAGCCACGGCUAACUACGUG
rnacentral:rRNA from 1 species